rnacentral:misc_RNA from 1 species
AUGCAGAGCGAGGUAACGCCGGGC